UUAAUAAGCGGAGGAAAAGAAACUAACAAGGAUUCCCCCAGUAACGGCGAGUGAAGCGGGAACAGCUCAAAUUUGAAAUCUCCGGUGCUUGCACCGGCGAGUUGUAGUUGCGAGAAGCACUUUCUAGGUGGAUCGGUCGUGCCUAAGUUGCUUGGAACAGCAUGUCGCAGAGGGUGACAACCCCGUCUGUGGCGCGACCGGCCGCUGACGAUGUGCUUUCGAAGAGUCGGGUUGUUUGGGAAUGCAGCCCAAAAUGGGUGGUAAACUCCAUCUAAAGCUAAAUACUGGCGUGAGACCGAUAGCGA
rnacentral:rRNA from 2 species